rnacentral:lncRNA from 1 species
CUUGACAUGUGUAACUCAUUCGAUCAUAUCAAAUGUAUUUAUAAUAUUCUUGAUUUAGAAAAUAUUUCAUUCACCAUAAGAGGCUAAAGCUUUACUUUUAGCUCUCACUUAAGAAUCAAAAUAACUACUUCAAAAGCCUCAUUCUUAACUAUCGGAAAACAAGUUCAGAUUGACUUCGUGACGGUCAUCGACGAUUAAUUCUAUCACUAACGGAGCUCUUACAUUUUAUUUUUUAAUUAUUACAUAAGAUUUAGUAUUAUAAAAAAAUUUAUGAUAAUUCAUAAGUUGUUUCUUUAUAUACAAGUUUCGCAAAAAUCCGGUUUAUGUUAUUUUAGAGAGAUCAAAUUGGAAUGAUGACUUGGCACAAUUAGUUAUUAUAGAUAAUUUUAUCUAAGUGGCAAUGAUUGAGAAUAUACAAUGAAAGAAAAUUAAACCUUAGCGAUGUAUUUUUAGAGAGACGUUUAUGCACAAUAUCACAGCCACUUAUUCCAAAAACACAAAUAAAGGCUUCCCUCAUGCUUCGAGGCCCAAAACUCCUCAAUCAUUGGCGGAGAAUUCUUAGAGGAUCCAUCGACACCUCUACCCGCGAUCGAAGAUGGGCCCCUCGUCAAGGACCUCCUCCUCUUAUCGGAGAUGGACCCACACAAGGUGGUCCCACUCGAUGUCGACAGAAGCGCGCGACAGUCGUAUUGGCCCUUGCCAAAUAAUCCCGUGACUACUACGAAAUUACACAAUCGACCAGCCGCGAAGAUCCGAUAACCCACGAAGAAAAGGGCAUGUACGUCAUUUCGCGUUCACGUUGGUCGCGAGUCGUGGGUCCACUCCCACGGACUGACAGGGCUCUUAGCGGGCCCACCACGAGGGUAGCCCCGGUGGGUGUGUUGGUGAGGGGGAGACGAAUCAAGGACUAGCUUGCCCGCGCUGCUCAUCACGGGCAGUUCCCCACUAUAAAUUCGUGUAUUAUGGAAUGGAAAGUAGUUUGCAGCUGUCGCUCUUCGAGGUGUCUUUUGUAGAGAUUCCUUUUUCCUUUCCCACUUCGCGUCCAAGGUAGAAUGGAAAUUCUAGUAUUUCCAUUUUUAAUCUUUGUUUUGAUUCGAUCGUGUUUCUUAAUUUUUGAUUGUUUUUUGGUUACCUACGGGAUGUAUCUUUUCGACAGAUCUGGUGAUUUUGGAUCCCGGCGAGGUUUUCUUGGUUCAUUAUUUCUUGUUUGAACUCAAUAUAAUGCUUUCAAUUGUUUAUAAUCGAACUUGUAAACAUGAUGAAUGCUUUUCUUUCGUUUUUACUUCAGAUCUGCAACAAAUCUUCAAGGAAAAAUGGGAUCCAAUUUCGUGUCCAAGGAAGACCACCAUCACCAGGCUCCGUCGCGGCGGGGCGUUAGGAGGACCUGGUCCUCCAACUCGUCCACGUGCGGCCAGGGCGUCGCCGCUGUCCCCAAGUGCGUGUGUGCUCCAGCCACUCAUGCGGGCUCCUUUAAGUGCCGCCUCCACCGGGCGAGCUCCCACGGCCACUCGCCCCCCUCCCCCACCUCGAUCCGUCCGCCGCCGCCGUCCGCGAACUCCUCUUGCGCUCCCACCGUGGAAGCCCAGUGACUCGAACGAGGGCCAGAGCGAGGAACAACUGUUAAAGAAGGGAAACAUUUGGUGAUUCCCGAUGGCUAGCGAGAGUUUUCAUCUUGGCAUGGUGUAUUGUGUUUUCCACCCAUACUAUGCUUACUGCAGCUUCCUUAUUUUAUUUUGUAUAGAAGAAACAGCACCGAGUCUGAUUAGUGUUGUAAUUAGUUCUAUCUCCCAAUCGCCAGCUGUGAGAGAUGUUGCCUACUCCAGUAAUUUCUUUCUAUCUUCUUGUUGUUGAAGCUGUUCUUGUAAAUAUGAUCUGUUUCUACUUUCUAAAGCCCAAAAAACACAAAAGGCAUCGGUGUUCUAAUCUGAUUGGUGUGUGUUUGAAAGAUGACAAGUUAACAUAUGGAGGUGGCCAACUUUUUUUCCCAUUCCCUUUUCUUAGUUGAUGACAGUGAAUUUAUUGGUUGCCUUGUAUCUGUCCAGGUUCACGAGCUGCUCCGAGAAACGAAAGAAGGUUCAGAUGUUUAAUCUUCUUUUCCAAAUGCGAUCAACCACAGCAAAAGAAGGUUCAGAUGUUGAUAAACUUGUUCAUAUAUGUUAAAUUUCAGUGCUUUCAUUGAUGAAGAUGAUUGUCUUUAGAAUGUUUGCUGAAUUGUGCCUGUGGUGAUAGCAUGCAUUCUUUUUCUACUUUCCAACUCUGUUAACCUAGUGAUUCCUUGUAGUUUACUGUUCCAACAAGGUAGAUCCUGUUCUGGAUGAAUCCUCAGGUUUGAUAGUAUAUCCGAUGACUGCUACUUCUUUCCAUUUUCCUGCCAUAGCCGGCUUGAAGGACAUGCAUAUCCUGUACUACAAUUGUCCUUAUUUGGCACUUCCACACAAAAUGGAUCAGCAUGGGUACAAUUUCAAUUUGUCCAAAUGUGCUCUGAUGCAGCUAAUGAAGAAAUUUUUUAUCUAGUCAAUACUUCAAGUAUAGGUAGGAAGUUAUCACAUCAGAAGCUUAUGCAUGUGGGCCUUGUAUACUGCCGCCCUUCUUUAUCUUGUUCCAAAACUAUGGUGGCGUGACUUUUGGUUCACCAGUUGUGGACGUAAACAUAUGGAAAGUGCUGUUUGAUGAAAUGAAAGAAAAAGAAAGAUUUGACAGCCUAAAAAAAAGGUUUUUGACUUGUCAAAGUUUAGCUUGUUUUCUUCUACACUUCCAGAAACGAUGUGCUUUCAUCUGCCACCACUGGUGUUACUUUGCUUAAUUGUGAGACAUGUUCUCUUUGCAAUUUCUACAAUGUUCCAAAGUUCCCCCUCUGUAGGUAUUUUAAUGCAUAUCAGUUAAUUGUUAUGCUAGAUUUCUUUGAAUUGUGCAUGAGAGCAAACCAUUGAUUGAUGUGUGCUGUGAACCAACACUGGGUUCUUCAGUCUUAAAUUUUUAUGCUGAUAUUUUUGAACCAUGCAAUGCUAUAUGCUGUGAUCCAGUCUAGGGACUAGGGACUUCAUUCAAUUUAUUUUUUUGUCUGAGUUUAAAUUCUUGUGCUACAUUUCUUCAAACCAUGCAUUGGAAGCUAUGGUUAUUGCUAUGUGCUGUGAAUCAGUCUGGUUUUUUCAAUCUUUCUUGAAGGUGCAUCAAGCUUCUUGUGAGCCAUGGAAAUAUAUCUUGAUCUUUUCUUGGUCACAACUUGUGAGAUAUACAGAACUUAGUCGUGCUUUGUGUGCUGUAGCCCGUGCUUGUUGCUCCACUGUUACAUAUUGGCUUUUAUCCAAGUAGUGCACCGUUUAGAAACAAUUCACGUUCCUUUUCCGUAUGUUAACAUAGGAAUAAUUAUCUAUUGUCCUCCCCCCUACUUAGCUACCUUUAAUGUUUUUAUCUUAGUCUUUAUAUGAUAUCCCUAUAGUUAGGAAAGUAAAAUAUUUAAGUUCAUUUAUUCUUAACGUCGUUAGUUUUACCAGCGAAAACAUGAAAACAAAGGACAAAAAAAUAAUUUUAACAUUCGAUGACAGACGACAUCGAUGGUGGUGGCCGAUAGACACGCUGGCGUCGACGCCGACACAGUUAUUUGACCGCCUCCGACGAUGAUAAGAUUCGCUCUCACCGCGACACCACUAGCCUCCAUGAGAAGUGUGUCGUUGACCUCAUUGUGACGUCGACACAGAUGGUGGUGGUCGUCAUGGCAUCCACAGCAAAGAUGGUAGUCACCUCAUCGUUGACCCGUUAGGCGAAUCGCAACCUCAACUCAAAUUUAGGGCUACCGGAACUCCUACCGCUACCAUGUUAGUUCCGGCAUCACCACUUGGCCAAUUGUCGACAUCACCUCUUGGCUAGUUAUCGAGCGAUGAAAAGGUUGCUUGGCAUCUGCAUCAACGUCGACACAGAUAUAGAGCGGUAGGAGCUCUGACGACCCAAGCUUCGAGUUGAGGCUACGAUUCGCCCAACAGGUCAACGACGAGGUGACCAUCAUCUUCGUCGUAGACAUUGUGGCGGCCACCACCAUCUGUGUCGGUGCCAACGUAGAUGUCGAAUGACCCUUUUGUCGCUCGACAAUUAUGUUAGCAUCAAUGUAGAUGCAAAACCACUCGAGGCGGGUGACGAAGAGGUCGACGAUGUGCUCCUUGUGGAGGUGAGUGACAAUGCGAUGAGAGCGAAUCUAAUUGUCAUCGAAGAUGACCAGACAACUGCAUCGACGAUGACUUUAGCGAUAUCGUUGUUCAUCACUAAAUAUUAAAAUUAUUUUUUUAUUCUUUAUUUUCAUGUUUUCGCUAAUAAAACUGAUAUUGUUGGGGAUAAAUUGAUUAUAGAUAUUUUAUUUUCAUAACUAUAAAGAUGUUAAUAUAAUUAUUUAAAAUAUGUGGAUCGAAAUACUAUAUAAUAUAUAAUUAGCCAGUUACCAUAACACAUUUUUUCUUUUGUAAGUCAGUGUUCAAUCUGGAGUCUUAAUUGGCAGAUGUAGAAGAUGAUUCGCAUGGAAAUCAUACGAGGAAUUGGUCAAGAACUUUUAUCUACUGGGUUAAUCAGUUGGUAGAACACUACUACCUCUUCAUCGAAUACCUUGACGGCAAGAUGACCGACAACCCAUAGGGAUGCCCUUGGAUUCUGCAAUAAAGGAGAAUCACCGGAUCACAUGCGAGCGGAGUCCGUUUCUAACACACAGGUAUGCUGCUGAGCUCAAUGGGUUCACCAAGUGUUCAGCUUCGUGCAGUCGGACGCGAGAGCUUGUUUCGGUUCCGAAGCCGGCGUUUCGGAUUUGAAGAGCAAAUGACCCAAUUAACCGCGAAAUUUUCCUGACAUAAUUGUCGUCUGUGCCUUCGCCAUCAGCGUAAUCACAUCAAAUCAUAUCAUAAACCUCUACCAAAUACAGCCUGCUCCAAUCGGGCAAUACCACAAACAUUUAAUCCUCAUUGCUGUCUGCACUACCGGGCGAGUGUUUGGAGAAGGGAAGAAAGGUGAACAUGGGGCGAAGCGGCGGCGCCGUGGAGGUUGGGGAGCGCGGAGGGACACCGGAUCGCCGGUCCUCGGAGGGGGACGGGGAGGAUGAGCAGCAGAAGCAGCAGCGGUCGGAGAUCUACACCUACGAGGCGCCGUGGCACAUCUACGCCAUGAACUGGAGCGUGCGGCGGGACAAGAAGUACCGGCUGGCGAUCGGCAGCCUGCUUGAGGGCUACGGUAACCUGAUGGAGAUCGUGCAGCUGGACGAGGCCACGGGGGAAAUCCGCUCCGACCCGGCCCUCUCAUUCGAGCACCCCUACCCCCCCACCAAGGCCAUGUUCGUCCCCGACCGCGACUGCCUCCGCCCGGACCUCCUCGCCACCUCAGCCGACUUCCUCCGCAUCUGGCGCGUCGCCGACGACUCCUCCCGUGUCGAGCUCCGCGCCCUCCUCAACGGCAACCGCAACUCCGAGUUCUGCGGCCCCCUCACCUCCUUCGACUGGAACGACGCCGAGCCCCGUCGCAUUGGCACCUCCUCCAUCGACACCACCUGCACUGUCUGGGACAUCGACCGCGAGGCCGUCGACACCCAGCUCAUCGCCCACGACAAGGAGGUCUACGACAUCGCCUGGGGCGGCGUUGGCGUCUUCGCUUCCGUUUCCGCCGAUGGCUCCGUCCGCGUCUUCGACCUCCGCGACAAGGAGCACUCUACCAUCAUCUACGAGUCCGCGGAACCCCCCGGUACACCACUCGUCCGCCUCGGAUGGAACAAGCAGGACCCCCGCUACAUGGCCACCAUCAUCAUGGACAGCGCCAAGGUCGUCGUGCUCGACAUCCGCUUUCCUACUUUGCCCGUCGUCGAGCUCCACCGCCACCAGGCCAGCGUCAAUGCCAUCGCCUGGGCUCCCCAUUCCUCGUGCCACAUCUGCACCGCCGGCGACGAUUCCCAGGCCCUCAUCUGGGACCUUUCAUCCAUGGGCAGCGACCAGCAGCCUGCUGCCUCCACCGCCGCUGCCGAGGGCGGUCUUGACCCCAUACUGGCCUACACCGCUGGGGCCGAGAUCGAGCAGCUGCAGUGGUCCUCCUCCCAGCCGGACUGGGUGGCCAUUGCCUUCUCCACGAAGCUUCAGAUACUUAGGGUUUGACGGCCUCACCUUCAAUCAGAAAACUAAUCGAAAAAAAAAUUCUGUUAUAUUCAUAAUCAUUAUCAUCCUCGUCUUAUUCGUUAACGUUUUACUACGCUUGUGGUGACUGAUAACAAUAGGUUUGUCAAAGAAAACUAGAAGGGAAGGUAGGUUUCGCCUUGUAGGUCUACAUGUCUACGAUAGUAGCUACUGAGUUUGUCAUCUGAAAUUGCAUUCUAUUGAGUAGGGAUGUCAUUGGCUCCACCUUCAAGGGUUUCUAUUGUUCUCAUGUGCUGAGUAUAUAUUACUUGUUGGUCCUCUAAGAUUGCUGAUCUUGGUCGGAUGUUAUCUUCAUCCUAUCUGAAACUCAUAUUUGUUGCUUUUGUUAUGCCUCUACUUAACUUUGAGUAAUUCGUUUAGAAUGGAAGGGUUACAAUGCUUUAGUUUUUCAUGUGAUGAUACUCUAAAGUAGAAGUAACUGUAAAGUUUUAUGGUGGAAGAGAGGAGCGUAUCAUUUCUGUUUGGUGCUUCUGCUUUAUGCUAGAAUGAUGAGUUAGAUGCAUCAUUUUUCUAGAUGAGUGGGGCUUUUUACCUAUUAGUAGAAAAGCUAAACAUGAAAUCAACUGUAUAAAGUUUUUGAACGAUAAUCAUGGAAUGGCUUCGAAAUGCUUGUCUUAUUUCUAGAUAGUUUACUAAGAAGCUAAUAAGGUAGGUAAAUUGUUGAUCAUUCAAGUGGAGAUGACAAUGUAUGACUUAGCACUCUAUUGACUUUACCUUUGUCAAGAUCAUAUUUAGUAUUAACUUUUUCAGGUCUUCCAUUCAACUUUGAGGAUUUCUUGAAUAGUGCCUUUGUAUGUAUUCUAAAAUUCUCUUGCUGAAAGCUAGCACCACCGGUUCAAAAAUAUUCAGUUUAUUUUCUUCCUAUGGUUGUCUGUGGGAUAUGUAUGGCAAAUUUUUGUGAGAUUUGCCAUUACCAACUUUCCAAACUAUGAUUAUAAAGUAAUCACAAGCCAUAGGUUUGGGAUCUGCUCAUUACACCCCUGAUUUCAAGUGGCACCGGGUGAUAGUGAUUGAUUGUCAUUGUUUCACUCAUUUUUGUAUUCUCUACAUCUUUUUCUCUCUCUCUUCAUACUAUGGUUGUUGCAGCAGGCUGCACUGCAGCAGCUUUUAUCACUUCUCGACUGUUUUCAGCUACAAGGCCAAGCAAUCGACCGAAAUUAGGUUGGUUGUGUUUCAACUUGAUCAGGAACGGUGUACAUGAUGAACCUUGAGAUGACAUGUUGGAAUUAGAUUCUUAAUUUCAGUGAUGCAGAACAUGUACCAGUAGUUAAAACAGAGAACCUAGAUUGUUUGGGGUGUGCAACGAACUAAGUAACCAUGAGUUUGGAAGGGACAUGAGGAAAUGUAGAUUGAUACUGGUUUAUUGUCCUAGGUAGCCUAGUUGGUAAAGACUUCGAUUGAUUAUCACAAGAUCCUAAUUUUGAAUCCUGCUUUCAUCACUCAUCCUUUACCAAAAAAUAAAUAUUGGUUUAUUGUGCUAGGAAAUUUCUUGAAUAUGUAAAUUUGUUGAAUAACCUAAAGUUGUAGCUAGCAUGUUCUUAUGUCCUUUUUGAGCAUCAAUAGUCGCACUUAAAUAAUCUUGGAUGUUCAGGAAUGAGUAAAUUUAUGAUUUUUAACCCUAAUGAUGUGGCUAGAGUGUUCUUUAAGACCUCUUUGGUCAUCUAAUAGUAGCUCACUCAGAAAGAUCUUGUUAAAGGGUGAAUAGUUUGGUAGACACUUGUUUCAAGCUAAAAUGUUGUAUUGUCUAUGCAUCUUAAGAAAUCAUUUUUUAAUCUGUCAUGGAGGAUUAUACUUGCAGAUGCUAUUUCUUGUAUUUCUGCGCUUGAAGGCUUGGCCCCAUCUGGUGACAAAAGUAAGUUAACAGGGAAUGUACUUUGGCAUGACUGUGAGGUUCGAGGGUUGUUCGAUCACUUGGGAGUAAUAGUUCUAUAUCCUAUGUUCAUCAGUUUGGCAGUCUAAAUUGAGUACUAGAAGAGGUUCUAGGUAUUUCGGUUAGGAUUUAAUGAAACAUAAGAAUGCAUUUUUCUGCCUUUACCAUGUGUUUCGCCAUCCAAAUUUAAAGUGUAAGAAAAAUAUUUAAGGGAAACAUGUAUGUAAGACAUUCAUCUUCAUCAUACACUAAUAUAGAUAGAAACUUUUUGUUGUCGCCUUUUCUACUGUUAUUUUAGUCACUUUUAUGUGGUUGGUUAUGUUCCUUUAUAUGCAUGUACAAUAUGCACAAGCUCGGGCAUCCUACGGUCUUAAUAUCCUAGUCAAAUAAACAAAGAAAAAAAAGCUUGUAUAUCAUAUAGUCUUAAGUUAAAUAGAUACCGAGCGGAACCUGUUUUGAGCAAUUUGUUCUAUAGCUUGAAAUUAAAAGGACUAUAUCAUGUGAUGUUCCGUGGAAGCAAUGGUCCGAAGCUCAGUAUUUGAUGGUCACAUGUUCUAGUAGAAUCAAAACAUUUGUUCAUAACCUUCUGUUCCUGUCAUCUGAGUAAGGUCUACUCUCAGUAUUUGGUAAUUUUUAUGACUGAAAUUGAUAGUAGCACUUGGUGCUGAAUUUGUACCAUAACAUGAUAGGUAUCGUUUCUUUUUAUUCGGGAUGAAUUUUCAUUAAAGCUGGUCAUAUAAGCGAUUCUUGAUGUAGUCGACAGGGUUGUUCCUUUUUCGAUAUUUUAUUUGGUGAUUGCUGUCUCAGAUAUAUCGACCUAUCGGAACAUGGAUCAUUUAAUGUCUUGCUGCCUGUUUUCUUAUAGUCUUGUGCAUCAUUGUCUUCUCCGGAGUUCCAGAAGAUGAUUCUUUAGUCUUCUUCUUCUUCUUUUUUGUGUCAAGAGAUCUAAGUAAAACAUCUAUUAGCAUUUCCUCUGAUACUUAUUUCUGCUAUGGUUGUAAUUCCUCAUAUUUUCUGACAGACAUGUUGAAUCUCAUAAUGGUAUGGCUCACUAUGCUGGAGAUAUACAUAUUAGCAAUAGUCUCUUGAAAUGUCAGUAUUUGAACUCACAGUUAGUGGCUUCUGUAGUUCGAGAAGUAUAUGUUGAUUUCAAUGUCAAGUGCCACUGUUUUGGUGGGACUUGAAAAGCUGUUGAUACAUAUCGAACUUGUCAGGACUUUUGAUUUCUCGGUCAGUUUUAACUAUCUACCCACCCUUCUUUAACUUGGUUCAAACAUAUGGUGACGUUGGCUUUUGGUUCACCAAUUGUGGAUGUACGUAUAUGGAAAGUAUUGUUUAAGAAGCUUGCUAUUGGUAUUGGCAACUCCGAAUUCGCUAUUGCCAACCCUUUCACUAUAGCUAAUAUUUCAAAAAAUAAUAAAAUAUAAUUUUAUUAUUUACGAUCUCUUUGUUAUCAAUCAUAUCUUUAUUUCUAUAACCCUUUAUUUUAUCGUUGGCAUCGACAUCGUUUCUUGUCACUCCAUUACGGAACAAGAACAAGAGAACAUUUAUGCUCGUUCGAUAUUGUUCGUCGGGAGAAGAAAAAGAAAAGAAAGAAAGAUGAUGAGGAUACUUACGUUUGUUCAUUUGCAAAGAUAUUUUUUAAAAAAUAUUUAAAAAAAAAUAAAAUAAGAUUAUAAAUAAUAAAAAAGGGGUUAGAUUACAAACCUUUGUUUUAAUAAAAUGAAAGAAAAAAAUUGACACCUGGAAAAUGUUGUUGACUGGUCAAACUUUAACUUGUUUUCAUCUACGUGCCAAAGAGUAUGAGGUCAACGUUGCUGUCUGCCACGCUGCUGCGAAAAGAGCUGAAGGGAAUCGCCUCCUCUUGUCUGCACCGAUGUGUCUGUCAUCGACUGUGGAUGCAUCAUCGACAACGGCGAUAGGUGAUGAUGGAUGGCGAGGUUAAGGCAAUGGCGGGGGUGGGCGGUGCAGCGUUUGGUCUGACAUGGUUGGCGACGACUGGGAAGCAACCCAUCUCCCGGAAUCGGAACGGGAGGCAACCUCGGUAACUUAUUUGGUUCUUCCAUGAUGCUUCUGACAGAAUCCCUGCCUCUCUGUUUCGGCUGUGGCGCUCGUCGGUAUACGUUCCUUUGUCCUUCUCCCACACCUGCCUGUCGGUUCUUCCCGCACUUCUCGAGGGGAAGACGACCGUAUCCUAUCCUGUGAGGAGGCUGUGGGCUCCGCGGGGUUAUUGUUUUUUUCUAAGGAUGCAAUCGUUACAUUCAUUGCUGCUUCUUAGUAAAGUCGAUUGACACGUAUCCUAGUGACAUAUAUAUAUAUAUAUAUAAAUUUAUACGAGAUUGAUAUCGUUUGUAACACUAGAUUAAGAUUGACUUAUAAGGGUAUGAUGAAUGUAUUACCAUCAAAUUCAGCUUAAGCAUUUUGGUUAAUGGUUUAAACCAAACGAAGUUGAUAGACUAGUUAGCCCAUCAGGCUUGAGUCUUGAUAUUUGAUAUACCUAACAUUUAAGCAUGGAAAGAGGGCUCGAGUCUUGAUAUUUGGUAUACCUAGCAUUUGAGCAUGAGGGGGCUCGAGUCUUGAUAUUUGGUAUACCUAGCAUUUGAGCAUGAUGAGAGGGCUCGAGUAGGAAAGAGCACAUGCACUAUAUUAGGACCUGAUCUGGGUUAUGUGUAACACCCCUGAUUAGUCCGACAUCGAAAAUGAGUAAGAUUAAAAUUGACUUAUAAGUAUACUAUUAUCAUUUUAAUUAAUAGUUUAGAUCAAACGAAGUUGAUAGACUAAUUAGCCCAUCAGACUCGAGUCGUGAUAUUCAAUACCACAUAAUCGUUACCAACAAAAGAUAAAUAUUUUUUUACAAAAAUUAAAUAAUAAAAAAUCCUCAUAAUUAGUUUUAUAGAUGAGAUAUGAUCACUAUAUUAUUAACAAUCACCAUGCCGAAUAUGUACCGUGGCAUGAUCCUAUGUUCAUUAAUAAUGAUGUCAUCAUCUGAUUAGCAUAUAACCUAAAUAUUAUCGAGUCAAAUGUUCCAUCAACUCAUCUUUCAAGAUGUGCUUAGUAUGUUAUCUAAGUUGACAAUGAAUGAUGUGCUUAGAAAACCUCAGUGCAUGCACAUCCAUGUUUUCUGAGAUGUGUCCCUCUGUCUCAAUUCCAAUCGGAGUUCGAAUGGGGAAGACUACGGCGAGUCCGACUUCAAAGAAGACAAAAACAUAAAAAAGAAGAUGUUGGAGGUCCACCCACUUGAAAUGGUGGGUGGUGGAAUGCGACAUGGAUUCCGAGACGACGACGACGACGAAUACCAAUACGGUGAACUUUCUUUCGCCCGGCGACUUUUGUGCUCAUUUAUGUAUGUUGGGAAGAUGGGGAAGGUGAAGUGGUUGGGUGGGGACGUUCUUCUCGCCUUCGUAUAGUUUCAUUGGGUGUUCCAAGCAAUUCUUAUGGCGUUCCUUUUCUUCCCCAAGUCAAAUAUCGUGCAUAAAAAAUGUAGGUAGGUCGUUCACCCAAAGCUAUUGUUGGAGUAGGUUUAGAGUGUACCGAAAAAUCUUUGAAUGCAAUGAUCAGAAAAGAUAAAAUAAUUAAUAUUAAUGAUAUAAAAAAAUAUAUAAAAAAUAAUAAAUAUUACAAAUAAAUAUUUAAGUAUUCCGAAUUUAUCUAAAUAUAUAGUCUUUUAUAGAUUUAAAUGAUGACGAAAGAUUCAUGUCAUCGAUCCCAAAUAACUAAGAUUUACGAUUUUAUCGUUGUUAUUAUCAUUAUUAUAAGAUAAAAUAUUAGUAACUAAAAGCUUAUAUUUAUAUUGAUCACUUAUGAUAGCUCUCGAUAUCGAUGGUUGUCCUGGUGGUCGAUCGUCUUGAUUCGAUGAAAAUUUUAAAAUUUUUUUUUAUGUGUGAUAAUUUCGCAUGUAAGACAAUUGUAAAUAUCCAAAAUAUGGUUUCGAGAGAUAGCAUCGAGCUCUCGAUGUCCCUCCCUUUAAUGUUAUUCAAAGUAUAGUGAAGAGAGAGUUUAACCUCGAACACAAUAUCAACGGACUUUUUUCUAUGUACAUAUUGUCGAUCCGUAGUUUAGAGUGAAUAAUAAUUCUAUCAUCUUAUAAUCUCUCAAACUUAUAUAUUUUUUUUCUCAUUUUGUUACUAAAUCAAUCUCAUAAUUUAGCUUUGAUUAUAGAAGAUUAGCUUUGACUGAAACUGGACUCGUAAUUUAACUAAGACCUUUAACCAAACAUAACAUCUAAAUCACAACAUCGGAUUUAUAUGAUCUAAAAGUAUAAUAGGAGUUCGAUGAAAAUCUUGAUUUUUCUGUGUGGAUAUAAGUAAAUAUUAUAUUUUAUAAUUAUAUUUCUUCUAGCAUCAAAGUCUUCUAACUACAUACAUAAUCAUCACCGCAUCGUCAAUCUUUUUCAUUGAAACCUACUUUCGAGAUCCAAAUCGUGUUUAUCGGAUCUAAAAGUGUCACAUCGCCCGGUAAAGAUUUGGUCCCUUGUUUGCAUCAAUAAGCAGCUAGCUGUAGUCAACGGUGGAGCAAAUCUAGAACGCAAACGUUGUCCACGAAGUCAAUGAAAUCUCUAUCCGUAAAGAAUCGAAGUCCGUAGGUUGCUGUUGUUGUUAUCGUCGUAUUGGUUUGCAGCGUUUGCUACGAUGCUUCGGCGUGGGAGAGAUGCACAAGUCAUAGAAGAACGUGUUCUCGUUUAUGUGUUUUAUCGAAUCAAACACAUGUAAAGGUCAUUAUUAGACUGGGAAGAUUCAACUCAGUUCUCACGUACGAAAGCAAGCGGCGAGAGGAGACCUCAAAGGCCGUGUCUCACAUGGCAUUCCUGCGUCCGGGAAAUUGUAGGGGAAGGGAGAGGAGAGUGGGUUAAAAAAGCAGGCAACAGGAGAGGUGAUGGCGACAAGAGACUGAGUGCAGACUCUCUCUCUCUCUCUCUCGACAGGCUCUCCUCCUUGCACCAUUAAGUUGAUUCACCCGGGAGUUGUGACCGAGCGAGAUAACCUGUUUGCAUCAUGCCAGAAUGGUGACACCCUGCGCUAACAGCUACGUCUGGGCUUAGGCAGACGGUCGGAGCACGACAGAGGAGGCGUAGGCUCCAUUUGCGGUGUUGCAUAGUUAUGGACGACAGCAGCAGCAGCAGCAGCAGCAGAGGCGCCAUUAAUGGAAAAAGGCCCAUCAGGUACAUGGUGAUACUGUUUAUGGAAUGGGAAGGUAAGGCCAGAGAUGACGGGAAAGGGGAGGGGAGGGAUGAGGCGUUGCAGAUACGAUAUGAUUUGAUGACAAUAACAAUUCAGGCGAGACUGCGUCGAUCACUUGUGUUACCACUGCCCGCCAGACCAAGAAACGUAAUCCCCGUGGCUUUUCCUCGUUCGACGCGCCCAACUCCUCCUUUGGGGCACCGGGCACCGCCGUGCGUGCCGCCCGAGGCGAACGCGUCCGUAACUAUUGAACUCACUUGCGGUCACACUGGGCUCGGUGCGCAGUGCACGAUGCAGCGGCCCCCCCGCUUGACUUUGCUCAUCGGUUCUUGAUAGAGUGGAUUUUGCUGGAAUUCUACUGCUCCCACGCCGGAGAAAAAUUACAAAGGCAAAAUAAGAAACUGAGCGCCCUCAGAGAUCCCUUUUCGAGCAGCGCUACAAAGUACGGACUUGGGGGUGGGGGGUGGGGGGAGUGAGGUCCCCGCUCUGGCUUGACAUGCGUUGGAGGGGGACACUGCUGUCAGCGGUCGUUUCUCGCAACAGUCCCGACACUAACAACGCUGUCCCCGGUGCAUAGCGUUGCAGGUGACUUCCCUCUGCGUUCCUUGUAUCUCGUAGUGGUACGACUCCUCAGGACCAUGAAUCAACUUCAUCAUAGCACCGAGUAUUUUUGGUACCAAGCAAAACACGGUGGAGAAGAGGGCGAGGGUGGUGCGUCGUAAUUAUGAGGCUACCCUCGGAUGUGGUCUCUUACCUGUGCCUCGGUUGUCACGUUAUUCCCAUGGGGGGAUGCGGCGGGCACCGGUGCUCCCUCGCGUGUUAUGGUGGUCCAGCUGGACGGAAGCAGACGUCGUCGUCGGUGGGGACGGACGAGACAAAACACACAGGAGCGUCGACCCAAAGUUGCCGAUGACAUGUAUGACAAUAUGCUAAAGUGAGAUUGAUCUGAUACAUGGAAUCUCCCCCCUCAGUCAAAAGAAAAAGGGCGAGGGGGAUCGGACUCCAUUAAGAGAACGGGUGCGACCAUGCUUUAUUUUCCUGUCCUAGCUUUUUCCCGGGUGGACAUGUGGAUAUAUAUAUAUAUGGCUUGGGAAAUUUAUAUCUGGCUGUUGAUGUACUCGUCCCCCGUCAACCGAUUCCGACGGCAGGCAUGAGGAUCUCGCUUCCUCCCACCCACCUCCGUGACAGAGGGGGGAGGAUUCGCUGGCUGUGCGUUGCGGGCGUCUCCGCAUCCCCGUCCGAGCCCCGUUGCAACGCCAGAUUUGACCGUCCAUUGCCGCAUUCAUAUCCGCAGCUACGUCUCCUCCUCCUAUUACUAAAUAACCGACCCCCUCACUCCGUCAAUUGAUUGAAAUCGAAGAAUAGCUGCAACAGAUAUAAAACAUGGAUUUAAUAACCCAUUCAAACCCCCAUAUAUGCCCGACUUGCCUGCGUGCCUUAUAAUGAGAUUGUCACUGCCCAUAAAAUAGUGUCGGUUCGUUUUCUCAGGCAGCUAUUAUGGUUUGUAUAUGCGUUUAGUUUAUUUUGGUUUGUGGCUUGCGUCUUUUUCCUACGUGGACCCCUCUCUUCCUCUUUCUCUCUCUCGGAUGAUAUAUAUACAUAUACAUAGAGAGAGAGAGAGAGAGAGAGAGAUACCCAAACACAAUAUAUAUGUGCCACGCCCAUUCUUGUCCCACGCCAUUUGGUUCGCUCAUCCUUCCCUCGCCCUCAACCCGCUCCCAACGCGCGCUCUGACCAUAAGAAGAAGCGACGCCCGUAGCAACCGAAAUCGUCGUGGUUGUGGGGUGGGGGGGUUUCGGAUCUGGCAGUGAUGGCCGUGCGAGCCCAGUAUCCCGCCAACGCCUUCUCCCCCGAUUUCCGCUACCGGUGAGCCAUCAGCGCUUCUCCUUGCCCCUUCUUGGAGCGCUUCUCUUGGAUUCCUUAUCCCGCUCUCUUCCAUUUAAGAUCCAUCCCUCUUCCUCUCAUGCCCUGUUCCUUCCUUCGUUUGGUGCUGUGGUUGGUAGCAGAGCAAGGAGCGGUGCGCUGGAUGACCCUCUGAUGAUGCAAGAGCCUCGCGAUCUCCUGCAACUCCAUGGCAACAACCUUGGCACAGGUGAGCCUCCCUUUCUAGCCUUUCUCGGCUUUCUUGCUUCCAGACCGCGGUGUGAUGGGAUCGCUGAUUGCAACCGUCAUUGUGGGUGAUGCAGGGGAGCAGCAGCACCAAAUCUUGAACAACGCGGGGGUGUUCAGCGACCGCCAGAGCGAGCUCACGUGCAAUGCCUCAGGGUGCAGGAAGCGGUCGCGGGAGGAGGCCAUGGUGCUGCCCGGUCUGCACAACCCUGCCCUCUCGACGCUGUUCCGGUACCCUAACGCGACGGCGGUCCCGGUGAAGCCCACUGCCGCCCAGACCUUCUCCGUCGGACUCCCCCAUAGCCGGUCAAUCGAGUCCGGCGCUACUUCUACCAGCGGUCGGCACGUUUCGUCGUCGCAUGCCGCCCCGCCUCCCCCUUGCGAUCUCGUCUCCCUUCUCUUUCAACAGAAUACGGAAAUCGACGCCCUCGUCCGCUUGCAGGUAUCUGCCUAUCCAAUACCUUCCAUCUAUAUCCGUUGUUGCUUUAUUUCUUGAAUCGACUAUUUUAUCUUGAAAUUAAUCAUCAUCUGUAACCGACCUCAACAGAACGAGAGGCUGCCGACUGGAUUAGAGGAGGCGCGCAAGAGGCAUUGCCGGGCACUUCUUACGGUGUUGGAGCAGCAGGUGGCGAAGCGCUUGAUGGAGAAGGAAGCCGAGUUACUGAUGGCGACGCGACGGAACGCAGAGUUGGAGGAGAAGGUGCGGCAGUUGAGCGAAGAGAUCCAGAUAUGGUUCGCCAUGGCCAAGAACAACGAAACCAUCGUGUGCAACCUGCGGACGAACCUGGAACAGGUCCUACUCCAGGGCGCGUCCGGGGCCGCAGGCCGCGGUGGUUACGACGACAGCGAGGGCGGUGGCUUCCCGGCCGACGACGCCCAGUCGUGCUGCUUCGAGUUCGACGCUGCCGCGGCUCCGGCGGCGGAUUCCGAGGUCGCCACGUGGCGGAGGGCCUGCAAGGCAUGCGGGGAGCGGGACGUCUCCAUCCUGCUCCUCCCCUGCCGGCACCUUUGCCUCUGCAAAGACUGCGAGGCCAAGGCCGACGCGUGCCCCGUCUGCGGUUCCGCCAAGAACGCCUACCUCCAAGUCUUCAUGUGCUGAUGGCGUCGGACGCAGCGGCGGAAGGCGGUUCGUUGGGGUUUUCUUUUUUGUGGCGGUUCGUGCGGACCGUCGGACCGGUCGAAUUUGUUCAUAUCGUUCGUUACAUUUUGGUUUUUGGUAGGGAAUUCUUCUUUUUGCUGGGCGACGGUUAUCGCACGUUGCCGCUUCUGUGUAUGGAUCGCGUACUGAUAGGCUUUCGAUGAAAGGUUUCUUCUCCUCUCUAAGUAACUGCACACACGAUCAGAUGCAGUAAUGGAGGCCACCCAAUUCUCUUCUCAUUGCUUCUCUUCUCUUUCAGCUACUUAUUAACUAUUAAUAAGCUUUAGAAUAGGCUGCAGAUGUAAUAGUACGCGGUAAAACGUGAUGAGGGGGACCGGAUGCGUGGUUGUGAAGAGGUAGAACAACGUGAUAGUUAGCGGUAAAAGGUGAAGCGUUUGAACAGUGUGCUUCCACUUUGGUAUUUGGUUCUUCAUGUAUCCCUGAGAUGAGGUGGGGAGGAGAACCAAUAGCCGUUACUUCUCGGAGACACGGAAUUGUGGUGCUCACGGGAGCGUUUGCCGAAAGGGGUGGGUGAUCGGUGGCGUGAUGGUGAUCUGCCAAGCAUAUGAUGGCGCUGUGACUAUUGUCAUUAUUGCUUUGCGUUUCUUCAUUGUUGGAUGUCACCUCUAUUCCCUUUGAAAUAAUUAGUAUUUUGACUCGUAUUCGUGAAUUAAGUUCUAAAGGCUCAUGUCAUGUCCACAUUUCAUUACGUCGCUGUUGUUGGGCUCCAACCCCUCGAUGUUAAAGUCAUACAUGAGAGCCACACCUUUCCAUGUUGCUCAUCUAUUAAAAAAAUUAUGCAGGGAUCUAACAAUGUUUUGAUUUAAAUAGUCUUAAAGUCAACAAUAAAUCCCACCUAUCCUUUUCCAUGUCAUAUCUUCUUCACUCUUAUCUUAGUUUAGGCUUUCCCAGACCUAAACCCAUAUUCCAUGCACCUGUGCUUCCACUCAAACUCAUUGUAGUUGCUCAUGUCAUGUGCAGUAGGGGAGAAAGCAGGAUCCUCUCCCACAGGGCCAAGUAAUCAAAGACCUACUCGCUCCUUUGUCAUGGCUCGGUGGACAAAGACAAAGGAGCGACCUUUAUCUUUAUCUGAUGCCUCCGAUUCACCCAAGCAUGUUAUUAAACAAGCAUUUACUUCUCACCUGGUGCCCCACCUACCUCUCUCCCUUCACCGGCGUUGCCUGCACAGACUUUUUUUUUCCCCCCUUUUUCUCGGGGGUGGGGUUCAGUCAUCAUCAAAUGCUUUUGGCUUUGUUUGGAUUUGAUGACAUAACCAUAAUAAUAAUAAUAAUAACGUGUUGGAUGGUGUUGUUGGGUCCCUGCAGCUUGGCCGACUUGUUUGAACAUGGAGAUCAGUUGACCUAUCUUGCCUGGUGUUCUGUAGCUUUUUCUUUCUCCAAGUUUUUUGUCAUCAGGAAGCUUGAGGCCACAGCUUUGCUUUCUUUAAUCUCGCCGAGGCAGAGCCACUGCCCUGGAAGGCACCAAAAAUAAAUGCACAAGUCUGCUUGGAAUCCCACAACCUUCGUCCAUGGAAAAGAACCUUUUCUCCCUCCCUGUGAGCUUUACUUGUGUUGGAAUUUGGGCUGUCGCCAUCCCCACCCAAUUCCAGGGGAUCACACUCGCUUGUUUCGUGGUGUUGGCUGUGUGGUCCCGCCUCAUCCAAGCGAAGCAAGAUAUAUGCUCUUUUCAUGGCUUCGGACCUUAAGGCAGUGGCAGUGGUAGUGACAACGACAGCGACAGCGACAGACUUUAUUGCUUGCACCAAAAGAUUUUGACACAACUUGGGUGCCUUCUCUUUCAUGACUCGGCAGUGCAUAAUUAUCCCGUGGAAUUCUUCUCUCACAAUAAUUACGACGUAUGAGACGGGUGGUGUGCGCCCACAUGGGAGGCAUAUUCCCAACGAAACACGAGAGAAACAACUCCGCGAGGCCGAAGAAAGAGUUCCCAACGUCCAACUAGAGAUGCCGCUCCCACUACACAACAUCUGCUCCUUUUUAUAUCUCCUCCUCGGAAUCAGCGACGGUCUCAUCCAUCAUUCUCGUCGGGUUAGCCUGCAGAUGCCCGAGUCCAAGUGGAUAGUCUAUUGACGGCAUCGCUGACACCCACAGGGCACGGGACUUUGCAAGGUGGCAGCAGCCUCAGGCACACCGAGAUCCGAUCCGGAAGAAGGGCCACUCGUUGUCGAGGAGCAGUAAGAGACUUAUGGUCGGUUUGGUUCUGUAUUCUGCGAUCUACAGUGCAAGAGAUGGCUGGCCCGACUCGGUGCGCACGCAUGUGAUGGGGAACCUUUUCUCUGCUCCGCAUCAUGUCUCCAUCUCGUUUUGUCGUGUACACGAAGGUGGCAUGGUCGUCACUGUCCCUCCACAGUGCCAUUAUCGUGCUCAUCCCCCUCUCUUCCACCGUCAUGAAGCGCACGCCACCUGUUCUUCUCUUGGCCGUGCGUUAAAACUACAUGGUGAAGAACUGCUGCGGCUGAUACUGUUCUUCCCAUGGGGAGAUGGAAAGAGUAUCAAGAACAGGAUGAGAUUCUGGGACUCGAGCAAGCAGACAACGGGAACGUGCUGCAGAUAAAGAGGAGUUUGGCCGGUAGCCACGAACCAAGACCCGUCUGCACCGGAAAAGGCAGCCGUGCGUGCCCUAAUCGGAGGGUGAGGAUGCCAAUGGCCAUGACUCUUGCCCCCUCGAGGAGGAGAGGAGAGACGGACCACCUCCAUCAGUCACACACCUCAUCACAGCAAUGUGGAGAAGUCCUGCACGUAUGAUUAGUUUAACAGAUACGGUGAACAGUUCAUGGGGGGGCCAUUUCUGAUGCAUGGGAACAUGUGAGAUCUGGCACAGUGGCGGAAUAUAGAUAUUAUAUGUAGUAAGGGAUAAGCGCGAGAGGAAGAUGAUGACGAUGUGAAGCUGCUAAUAAAAUGGUGGAUAGAGUUCAUAUCAGUGGCGGCCGAGAAGAGGAUAUAUUUGGGGCACUGUCGACAUACUUUUGACGUGGGAAGAGGAUAUCUUUGCAUUCAUGAGAUGUAGAAUACGGCGGAAAGAAGACAAGACAGAGCGGGACGGAAGACGAUGCUGACGUUGCAGAGGGCCACACGCAUCCACUUAAACAGAGUCAAUUAUAAUUAAUGAUAAAAGGUCAAUUCCCAAGAAAACGAAGUCCUAUUUUUUAGAUUUUUUUAAAGCGAUUAGUGUUAGUUUGCCAUAAAUAUCUUGGGGAGGACAAUUUAUAAGGUUUAAAUUAUGAGUUUUGAAUAUAUUUAUAGUAUUUUGACGGAGAUAUGGAAAGUAGCAUAAGUCUAUUCAAAACCAUUAUAAUAAAAAAUAAAUAAAUAAAAUAUAAUUUUAAAAUUUUUAUAUUAAUUAUAUUGUUUUUUAAUAGACUUAUAAUGUAUCUAAUUAUUUUAUUAGGAAAUAAUAUUUAAAAUAUAAAAAAACCUUAAAAAAAAUUAAUUUUAGAACUCGCCCACAUGGAAAAACCUUUCUAGUAUAAUAAUAAGAAGAAAAAAGAUAAAUAAUGGCUAAAUAAAUAAACAUUAGUAGUUAAAAUUGUUUCGUUCCGUAUUAUUACACUGAGUAGGUGUUAUACUUGGGGCACACGAAAAGGAUCUCCGGCAAUUAUACCAACGAGCAACGUUGAUGUAGGACAACUGUCCCCGUGCAAGGAGGAGGGUCAUCGAGCAACCGAAUCCACCACUAAUCAUUAAGGACGACAUCCACAGGUCACUUGUUAAUUAUCAAGCGAUGACACAUAUCUUGGUAGGUGGUGAAGCUCUUUUUUGUUAUCAUGUAAAAUAUCCUACUUGUAUAUCGUAAUACCCUACAUGUUCACCUAAGUUUGAGACAAUUCAAGAAGAACAAGUGAUAGUGGUCAUCCUGAUAAGUCUCUCUCUCUCUCUCUAUCAUUCUAUCUCAUCUGGCAAAACUUGGGAGUAUGGGAUGUUGCAACUCUAGUACUAAAUUGGCAACAAUUUGAAGAGUUGGGAAGUGAUGAUGCACUCAGAGUAAUCAGUGGCUUUUGCUUUUGUUUUUGUGUGUGGUUUUGGAGAAGGUUUCAACACAAGUUGCUUUCAAGUGCUGCUGCCUCUGUGAGUUGUUCCCCUCUCCAUUUCACACAAUCAUGCCUGCCUCUUUUGUCAUUUUUAGUCUGAAAGAUAUCCCCCAACCUCCUCCCAGCUCACACACCCCCCCCCCUCCCCUCCCCUGCAGCAAUUAUUGUCCCCAUCCACUGUUAGUCCUCUCACCUGUCCUCACUCAUUACACACAUUAUCACCCACUGAAUCCUGCAACUGUCCCCAUUUCCUUGUAUCCUGCACUCCUUGUGGUCCUAAUAAGCAUGGAAAUGUGGUGAUCGCCUAAGACUUGGCCUUUUGUGGGCACUUCACUUCAUUCUAUUAUAUCAUCCGAGGACAUGACAUGGACCCACAACAACCAGCAUCAUACUGUUGUCCCCAUAUGUUCACAGGCUAAUCUUUGUAACACGCAUGGUAGCUUAGCCAACUUUUGUUGAUUUCCUGAUGCGUGGAAGAGGCUGCUACGACUUAUCUUUUGCCAAACACAGCUAAGCUCUUGUUUUAAUAUGCUGCUGCUCAUUGGCAUACUAUAAGUCUCGUUCCUGACUCUGCUUGUUGCUUUGAUUUGAAGCAAAAGGAAAGUGGAUACGUGGAAUAUAAUUUUGUGUCUCAAAUCUCAUCUCUGCACGAAGAAUAAAGUUUCCUUGUGGCUGAUGAUCAAUUAAUAUCUUUGGUCAUGAGGUUCACCUUGCCUAUGGUUUUUAACUACACGAGAAAAAAAGAGUACAUUCGAGUGAUGGUGAUGAUGAUUAAUUGACAAACAAAUGAAAUAAAAACAUUAAACAUAUGUUCAAAUCUGUGAACACUGAAGCAAAAUUCUUACAUUUAUCUUUCUUAUUUUAUUAUUUUAUAAUCUGCUGCAGAGUACCAUUUUGUACACUUGAAGCACUGGUCCAGAUCUAGAUCAAGCACUGGUCCAUGAUUCAAGACAAAAGAAAAUUGAGGCAGCAGGCAGCUAAUUCUGAACCCACAUGCCAAAAGUACGCAGCUGGUGGUGUUUGGGCAGUGCAGACACUCAAUUCUAGGUUGCUUGACAAGGCCAGAUAUCAAAGUCUUUACCUAAGAAUAAGAAAGAGCUUUGAUUGAUGUGAGACAUUCCUAACACUUGAGAUGCCAAGGCUCCAAUGGGGGUGGAGCCCCCUUCUCCUCCUCCUCCGGUUAAUUGCCAUCCAUCCUCACCAGCUUUGUUUCUUUGCUUUUGGUGGAGGAUUCCUCCACACCCUCCCCACCAGUCUGAGACAUCGGAUGGGGGUGUGGGGGGUGCCGAGCUCACACAUCUCUUUCGCUAAAAGACAUCACCACCAUAUUUGUGUGUGUCCUCCCAACUUUUUUCCUUUGGGACGCAGAGGGUGGGGGUCUCAUGUGGACACGCAGAGACAUCUGAAAGCAACGUGAUGUUGCACGCCGCGGACGCGAUGCCCCCACUGCUGCUUGUGAUGUGGUGGUGUUCGGCUUCCCCACACCGUCAAAGGAGAGCCCUGUUCAAAAGGUUCAGCCUUUUGGUACACAACGAGAUGAUGGCACUCCAACUCUGAGGUCGGUCUAAAAGCACGCAUUGAUUCACGAGCACCGGUAAAAACCGUGUGGUUGUGCCGUGUGGGGGCAAAGCGGCGACAAGAUUAUUAUUUUUGGGUGCUUCAACCACUCGAUGCGCGUUUGGACCUUUUGAACAUGUCACUCAUCAACUGUGUUGAUCGAUGUAAGUGAUGUCCAAAUCAUUUCGACUUGAUUCCCAACCUCGCGUGCUCAGAAAAAAAGUCUGAUAUGGAGCACAUCCGUCUGAUAGCCGACCUAGAAGAUCGAGGCCCGUCCGAUCGAGUCUCCAUCGAGACCCGUCAUUUAGUUUCAACUAAUUAUUUUGAAUAAACAGUAAUUAACCUUAAUUAUAGUGACCCGAUGGGCUUAACCCAAAAAAUAAAAUAUUUUACAAUAUGAAUAAAAUAUUAAAAAUAUAUAUUAAACUAAUGUUAGUGUGAUUGGUAGGCUUGCUGCAAAGCUUGAUAAUAUUGGAUCAUCAGAACAAGAAAAGCAAAAGAAGCAUGAACAGAAAAUAAAAGAAAAGACUGCCAAAUGUUCCAGUGAAAUUGCAGAAUGGUAGAGUUUACAGGUCAAUAAAAUGAAAAGAAGAAAGCCUGCAAUUAAGAAUAAUAAAAUUUAAUAUACCUAUGAACUUGAAUAAUGUUAAUAAAAUUAAUUUAACCAUGAACAUGAAUCAAGUUUCCAGACAUAUUUGGCCCUCAUGUAAAACAAUGAAUUAAAUCAACUAUCUCAAGCUCUGACUUAAAAGAUAUUGUCAUGUACAGAGCACAAUGGUGGGGAAAUGUCCAUGAAGUAGGACAUUACAACUAGAUAUUGUUGUCUUCAAUUCAUUGUUGUUGUAAUCAAAUAAUCCAAGCUCUUAUCAGUCCUUAGGCUGUAAAUAAGCUUCAUCAAGCAACCUGCAAUGAUAUUGGAAAUUAUCCACAAAAGAAAAGAAAUUGUGAAGAUCUAAAAAGCCUGCAUAACCACUUCUUUUCCUUAUCCAAAGAACUAUCUUGCACUCCCCAGGAUAAACAACCUCUUGCAUGUGGUCGCUAGAAACAAAAAUUCCAAUGCAAGCCAUUUAGCACAAAGCAAAUCAUUGUGUUUCCAUGCCUUCAACAGAAAGAAUCGAAAUGGAGUAUAUCUAAUAUAUUAAAGCAGUGAUCAAAGUUCCCUACUGUACCUAUAUGUACAUGUUAGAGGGUGGCGAAGCCCAUAACCCAAAAGAAUGUAUGAAUAAUAAAACUGAACACAUACAUACAAAAAAACUAUGUCAGCUUUUGUGAGUCCAAAAAAUGACCACCUCAUAUUGCAAUUCUUAUCAAGUUUGUUCAAUAUAUCUAAACAACGUAAUUUUCAGAAAUUAUAAGUUCCUGCCUUUAUACAUCGCUGGCCAUCUCUCAGUCAACCUAUUGUUCUAUACACCCUGUAAAUGUUGAAUGAAAAAAAGAAAAACAAUGUAAUUGUACAAAUCUUACGAGUUCCUGGGUCUGCUAACAGGUCCCUCAGAUAGGGCGGCAUUGUUCUAAAACACCGUCUAAACGUUGAAUCCAUAGAAGUACUGCCUUGUGGUCAAGAUCAUAUAUCACAAUGCCUCUUGAGAACAACUUUCUUAGAUGAGCAUCUUCUAAAACAAUAUAUAUUAAAAUAAAAAUCUUUAAUAUUGAAAAAUUUUUAACUGGAAAAAAAGUUUAGAAGGAUUUAUAACUUGACUAACAUGAGAAAAAACUAAUUUCAAAAGAAAUAACAUCCAGGAGUAAAUAUUAACCACAUAAGAAUUACCAACGAUGAACAACUCUGCUUUUUGUUUCUUGCAUUUUAUAAGAUUAAGCUGGAUGUUUUAUUAGCUUCAUAUUCAAGCAAGCCAACUGACUUUCAUAUUUGUUUGUAUGUGCUUCAGCAAGUAUAGAUCCAGAUCUGGAAGUUUUUAUUAGUGAAGGAAAAAGCCAAGGAGGCAAUAUUACUAGGGAAACUUUGAAAGAAAGUAGAAAGAAGAAUAACCCAAAAACAAACAAAAUUUGAAAAUUUUGAAGUUCAUCAUCUGUUCUAACUUAGGGCUCAAUUCAGGUGCUUUCUUGCAACUUCUAUUGUUGUUUUGAUAUUUGUACUCUGUUUCUGUAGUAGAUAUUCCAUUAUUGGAUCUAGUGGAUGUGCUUAAGUAUUUCAAGUGGAUGGUUACCCCUUCUAUUUUCUCUUGGAAAGCAUAAAGAACUUUGAGCAUUACAUGUUAUACUGUAUGUAAUAUGAUAAUGAUGUGCAAAGAAAAAAACAUGUCACAUACUACAUAUAAAGCAACCAUACUACAUGUAAAUGGACUUUAUGCUUGGUAAGUUGUGUCUUCUUUAAUUGCAAAAAAAAAAUAAUUGAGACCAUAAUCAAAUUUGCAACGUUCAUGAUAAUUUCAAUAAAGCUCCGCAUCAAUGCAGAACCUUAGAUUUCAGAAAUCAAUUCUACUUUAUUUCAACUACAUACCAGACAAAGAUAGUUAAUAUUGUACAUAAACAUACCAUAUAUGCUCUCCUCAAAGAAGUGAUGUCUUCCUAUAUCCUACUUGUAUACCCUUGUCACAUGUCACAUACAACAAGCACAAUAAUGACAACGACGUGCGUGUGAUUUCUAAUGUCAUUGAGCUCUAAUUCAUGUCAAACACUAACAAAAUUUCCUCUGUGUUCAUGACAUAGCAUGACUUAGAACACUGCCAAGAACAAAACAAUAUCUCAAUAAGUAAAUUGGUGAAGACAUUUAGGAUCAGCAUAUAAUGUUAGGCAGCCUACAACAAAGAUCACCAACUAGAAUGACUUCUGGAAACUCCAUUGCGGCUCACGUUGGCCGGCAUUCUUUAGUCAAUUCUGUACAACCACCCCCUAAGAAACAUUUCAGGCUUAUCUCAGAGUCUCCAAAUUGUACCGAUGACUUAUCUUAGCUUGGACGGCAACAUGGUGGGCGGUUCUGCUUUGGUCCACCAUGUCUGAACCCGGUGUGAACGUGACGGGCCGCCACCAUGGCCUGCGUUCUAUCUUCAUGCAAGAAAGCGACGCCGAAUCGAAUUCGAACACCAGGGCUUCUCGAGCUACCAGAAACCCUAACCAGGAAAUUUCUAGGUCAACACUAAUAGAAAAGGUUUCAGAGACGAACGGCGUGGGUUUCCACUAAACGAUCGCUCGGGUCGCCAUGAUCAAUCCCCAGAAACGACGUCGGUUUCCAUCUAGAAUGCAACAAUCCAGACAUCCAGAUGGGGAAAAGAACUCCAACAACAGGCAUGGAAGAAAAGGAAAACCAUACCGACUCGAAGUCGUGCGGCUCGAUGGAGUGGACGAGAGGAGAAAUCCUGCGCCAAUCUCAGGGUUUUUAUACAUAAAAAAAUUUACAUUAAGACACAAAAUGUAAUUGGUUUUAUCGAUGAAAAAAUAAAAAUAAUGAAUAAAAAGAUAAUUUUAAUAUCUAAAUUAUAUUUUUGAUGAUAGUUAACGAUAAUGUCACUUGGGGCAUCGAUGAGUAUUAUGGAUGAUGAGAGAUAAUAACAACGAGAGGUGAGAUAGAGAGAGAAAAUGAAGAAGAUAAUGUAUAUACCGACGCGAGCGAUGGAAAGGGCGACGAUCUACUGCGAGCCGAAUGUGGCCUUCUUGAGUCCAUCCACGGUGCCAACUUCCUCAUGGCUCGUCGCAUCUGGAAGGUCACUGGUGUUACUUGUCACUCCCUUGACAUUGACUAUCGCAUCUCUAGUGCAGGUUCACAAUAGGUCUCGCCCCUUUACGUUUCUUGUGAUCUCGAUCCUAUUGCCUUCCAUUCGCACUAUGUGGCUUCCUCAUUCUCUUACUCUUGCCUCUCCACCUCCAAAUUCACGACAACUCCUCGGGCUAAGAAGCCCGCAUAUCCUCGAUAAAUGACCAUGAAGUGACAUCGCGAGGUGGUUGACGAAAGGAUGGAGGUCGUCCUGUCAAGCUAGAGCUAAAGGAUGGGGUGGCAGAACAAUACUAACGCAAAUUCAGAGUAUCGACGUCUGCAUCGUUCUCUCCCUUUGCCCCAACUCUCACUGCUCUCCCUCAUCAUCCACAAUAGUCACCACGGCCCCUAUCUAUGUCAUCGUUUGCUACCACUAAAAAGUAAUUGAGAUAUUAAAAUUAUCUUUUUGCCUAUCGUUUUUGUGUUUUCAUUGAUAAAACUGAUAAUAUUAGGAUAAAUAAUAUUAGAUAUUUUACUUUCGUACAUAUUCUAACAUAAAAUUUUCAAGUCUAGAAAAUAGAAUAGAAAGGAGAUCUAACUAUAAUAAAUAAUAUGUAAUUAGCCUGCUAAUCUUUCAAGGCAUCGGUAAGAUUCAGAAAAACAUAUAUAUAUAUAUAUAUAUAUAUAUAUAUAUAUAUAUAUAUAUAUAUAUGUAUAUAUUUCUAAAAUUUGAUUGUUUAUAUAUAGUUCUUUCAAAAUAUUUAGAUUUAUAACAAUAGACCACAAGCAAUCGAACGAAGUCAAGUCAACGAUUUAAUAAUUCUUAACCAAAUCAGCACUUUGAUUCGAUUUGAAUCGAUCAAAAAAAUAAAAAAUCUAAGUACAUUUGUAAAUAAUAAAUUUAUCCCGUAUAACCUAAUAAACGACUAAUUAGAUGAAUAUUCUAUAAAAUAAAAAAUAGAGGAAUUGGAAUCGAUUGAUUCUUGAACCGAAAUUGAAAUUGCCUAGAAACAGUUCUUUGUUAUAUCAUUCAACAUAAGAAAUUGAAAUUGCCUAGAAAUCAUUCAACAUAAGAAUUUCUUUUAUCAUUGAAAUUCAAUAGAACCAAUAUUUUUGAUUCUGAAUUGAAAAUAUAUAUUUUAAAUUGUAAUUUAAAAAAAAACUCCAAUGGGUCAUUUAUUAAAAAUGUUGAAAAGGAUAAACUCAUCAUUUAUUUAUUUAUUUUUCUCAUCGGCUUGUAAUCGAAUCAAAAUUAUCAGUUUCCAUUUUCGUUUCGGAUUCCAUAAUUCUAGAAAUCGAAAUCAAACGGCCAAAUUCCAAUUCUAAUUUGAUUAAAAAUUAUAUUACCCUACCCUUUCUCAUUUUUGAUCGAUUUGAUCCGAGUUGGAAAUUAGCUCACAUAACCACUCCUUUGGAUCUUCGAGCAAUGAUGAAUUAAUAAAAAAAUGAUGCAAAUGUAUUAGAAAGUAACAAUAUACAUACAUACAUACACAAUCCUAGAGAUUAUUUUUUUGGAAGAGAGAAAGCUCCUUCUCCCUUCAUUAUCCGUCAUUAUACUUUGUCGCACAUAUGGAACAUGACGUGCUGCAACCUUCGCCUCCGCCUACAAGUUUGGAUGGGUCAUCAAUUUAGCUUGCAGAAUAAGCUUUGGUCCGCCGUGACCCCGUCGUCGUGAUGCUGCGCCUUCCUGUUUCCUGUGACGCGCCUCAAUUGUUCGACGCAAGUUGUCACAGAAAACGCCGUGGAUAACAGAAGGAUAAUGUAAGAGCGGUUUAAUGGUCGCGUCUUCCGGUACACCAACUUGCAAUAUCGUGUCACACAUCAUCAGCCGCACAUCCCUCCGUCGAUCGAAAGUCAGCAUCUUGUGGUCGCUUUUUCUUCCCUUGAAUAAUCGAUGCGCGACGAUGAAGUCAAGAUCGUCAUUCUCUGUGGGACCCGCCGUGUCGCCCAAUGGGAGAACGUCUCCUACCCACUAGGCGUUGCACGCGAGGUCGGUGGGGCCGACGGAGUACUCGUUGCACGCGAGGUCGGUGGGGCCUACUCCGUCGGCCCAAUGGGAGAACGUUGGUUCCCUCCUCGAGGCGUUGCACGCGAGGUCGCACGUGCGAUACCGUCCUACACAAAACGUGUGAAGUUUGGGUGAGAAGGAAAGAGUCCAGAAUCACUGCUCCGAAUCGGAAAAGUGUUUUUGGCAGCAGAAUCACUGCUCAGAAUCAGAACGUGUUUCCAUACCUGGGGCGUUUCUUUCGGAUCAGAUAGUCAACCGUAAAAGACGACCAUUUUUUAUUUACUUGGUCAUCGUCACCCGGUUUUCUGUGUGGGCCCUCGACGCAGUCCCACAUGACGCCCAAUGGUCAUGAGGGUGGUGGAAAGUUAGGAAGUUGCCGCGUUUGAACCAAUCCGACGUUUCGUUUCGUCGCCCUUUUAAGUAACGUGCGAUAGUAAUUCGUUUGUUCAAACCCGUUAUACCUUUCAGUUUCCCGAAUUUUUAUUUCGACGUGUAGGAAGUACGCGUAGAACUUACGUGUUCGAGCGGGCCCUCGGAUGGGCAUCUUAAUUUCUGUGCUGGGACAUGGUUUUGCUCAUGACACGAACUCGCGUGGAUCGAGGAGGUGUGAGCUUUGCGUUCCACGCCCAUGGAAACGCUAAUGGUAAUGCUUCCAUUUAAUUGCAAAGAAGGGAUUGGGCAAGACUUCUCUCCCCUCCACUUUGGUCAUUGGCCCAUCUCUUCAACCACUCCUCCCUUCGCCCGCCGAUCCCUGCCUCCUUUUCUUCCUCUGCGAGUCUUUUGGCGUCGACUCUUGAUCUCCGCGUCUUGGAUUGGUUCAGUUGGAUCGGCGAUCGUCGCGCCGCGCCCUACGUUUUGGUUUUCUGCAAGUGAGCCCUUCUUCAAGCAUCCGUCGGUUCUCGACCAACCUCCGUCGAUCGAACAUCAGGUAAUAGGUCGAUCGUUCUUUUCCUGAUUUAAUUUGUUUUUCGGGGCUUUUUCCGUAUAGAAUGUUCCUUCUCUUCUGGAAAAUCAAGAUUACAACCAUCAGGACUGGGAAAGCAAGUUUGAUUUUGACUACCGUGUGACUGGCGUCGAGAAGGAUGGUAGGACUUUCUGUAGUCCCAGAAGUACCGAUUGUCCAUCUUUGUGUGUCCUUGUUUAGGAUCGAGUUUGUCAUCUUUAGAUUGGUUAGCUUGCCUUUGGGUUUCUGAUCAUGAUUAUUUAAAGCUGUCUCACAGACGGAAUAAUGAUUUAUAUUUACUUGCUGCAUAACUAGCGACGGAAAAUGUGCUGAGAGUAAUCAAUAGAUUAAUCGUGUACUAUGCUUUUGAUUGUCGAUAUAUAUUGUUUUGAUGGUCUUCUGAUAAGGUGAAAGCUUUGGAACAAUUUAACGUCCAUGUAGGAUGAUCUUUUGAUAAUUUUAGUGAUCUGCUUAUCCUUUAUCUUAUGGUCAGCGAUUCUUUUGUUCUCAUUUACUAAUUUAAGUCAGUCUUAGAUGAACCUUUUUCAUUAGGUGUCGGGGGCUUUUCAAGAAUGGUUCUUUUUAUUACGUUCAGCUGAGUGUGUGCAUGUCUAUGAAAAUAACCUUUAUGCCGGCAAAGGGGCAGGAGCCUUAUAAUUUGGGUCACCCACUUGGUCUAAAUUAGAUAUUAAGUUUGGUUCUUCUCAUGUUCAACUUGAUUUUAGAAGCAUAAUGUUACUUGACAUGAGUAUGAAACGUUCAAUGACUUGAUGUUCGGUUUAUUUUUCUAAGCAAACGAAUCAAAUUGGUAAAGCUGGAUGAUUCAACAAAACAUCGUGAUCCACAAUUAAUUGGUAUCUUCUAUCUUGCAGAUGUGAGUUACAUGCUUAUGCUGUUCUAUAGUGAAAGAACAUGUAUAGCCCACCAUUUCAGAGAUCUUGAAUGAUAGACAUGUUCAUAUUAAUGGUUGUUCCACAGUUGCUAGAAAGGAUCAAUUGGGAGGCAACACAGAUAAAGAAUAUGGCCUUGUUGAAUUAGAGGGUCAUUCACAAAAACCCAAUUAUUACCUUCACUUAAACCAUGCUUAAGUAUCAUAUAAUUAUUCAUGAUCAAUGUGCCUCAAUUGAUUAAAAAAAAAAUCAAUUGCAUGUGUCUCUUAUAUUCGAUGACGUUAGAACUCACCUCAUCUUUUCACAGUCCAUAAACCAGUGAACGAUGGCUGAAGAACCAUGCUUUAUGUCCCAAAUGUUUCCUCGAAUCACAAUAGGCUGGCUUACCACAUAAAACAGUCUAUAAACAGCCUUUGAAGUUCCAUGUAAAACAAGUAAAACAUAUUUUUCAAAAAAGACUUACAGGUUGGCUAAGUUUGAUUGCUCCUUAUUAUUGUCUUUUCUAUUAUAUCUACAUUCUAGUUUUAUGCUCUCAUUAUAUUUUAUUUUUGUUUCUCUUGAUGAUAUAAUUACUAACUCAUGUUAAUCGAUACUGUUGGGGAAAAAAAAUAUCAUUGUCGUCCUUGUCAAUAUGACGUAGCCCUGAUCUAUAUACGUGAAGUCAU